rnacentral:rRNA from 1 species
AUUGAACGCUGGCGGCAGGCCUAACACAUGCAAGUCGAACGAGUGGCGGACGGGUGAGUAAUGUCUGGGAAAAUGCCCGAUGGAGGGGGAUAACUACUGGAAACGGUAGAUAAUACCGCAUACCAUCGGAUUUGCCCAGAUGGGAUUAGCUAGUAGGUGGGGUAACGGCUCACCUAGGAGACGAGCCCUAGCUGGUCUGAGAGGAUGACCAGCCACACUGGAACUGAGACACGGUCCAGACUCCUACGGGAGGCAGCAGUGGGGAAUAUUGGACAAUGGGCGAAAGCCUGAUGCAGCCAUGCCGCGUGUAUGAAGAAGGCCUUCGGGUUGUAAAGUACUUUCAGCGAGGAGGCGUUACUCGCAGAGGAAGCACCGGCUAACUCCGUGCCAGCAGCCGCGGUAAUAC